GAUGAACGCUGGCGGCGUGCCUAAUACAUGCAAGUCGAGCGAAUGGAUUAAGAGCUUGCUCUUAUGAAGUUAGCGGCGGACGGGUGAGUAACACGUGGGUAACCUGCCCAUAAGACUAGGAUAACCCCGGGAAACCGGGGCUAAUACCGGAUAAUAUUUUGAACUGCAUGGUUCAAAAUUGAAAGGCGGCUUCGGCUGUCACUUAUGGAUGGACCCGCUUCGCAUUAGCUAGUUGGUGAGGUAACGGCUCACCAAGGCAACGAUGCGUAGCCGACCUGAGAGGGUGAUCGGCCACACUGGGACUGAGACACGGCCCAGACUCCUACGGGAGGCAGCAGUAGGGAAUCUUCCGCAAUGGACGAAAGUCUGACGGAGCAACGCCGCGUGAGUGAUGAAGGCUUUCGGGUCGUAAAACUCUGUUGUUAGGGAAGAACAAGUGCUAGUUGAAUAAGCUGGCACCUUGACGGUACCUAACCAGAAAGCCACGGCUAACUACGUGCCAGCCGCCGCGGUAA
rnacentral:rRNA from 1 species